ACAGGAGAGCCUGCCAGUUUCCAAAGAACAGUUCCAAACCCAUGGUCAUACAGAUGAUCAUGUUUAAAUUCAAGUGGGUCACAAAACAAGAAGAUACGAGUGUUGGAAACAGAUGAAUUGAAGAGUGGGAGGAAGGAAAGCCGUGCUUCUGAAUGUGUUGCAUGGAAGCCGUCUCCAAGAUGCCAUUAAGGAUCGAGGUUGCAAGGCUCAGAACGGCAGCCGGAGGACACAGAGCCACCCAGGGCACACACCACACAGCCAAGUGAGCUCUUUGCUCUGGCUGCCUGGGCAUUCCCAGCCUACAGGUCCUGGGUUCCCAGGACCUCAGGUCCUCGAAGGAAGCAUUAGCUCUGGAAAUACAGGGACAAAGAGUGGAGCAGAGGCUGAAGGAAAGGCCAUCCAGAGACUGCCCCACCUGGG
ensembl:lncRNA